AGUGCUGGGGCCAGGCGGGCCGCCUGUGUGCCUGAGUGUGCAGGUGUCCUCAUGUGUGCAUGUGUGUCCUCCUGUGUGCACUCACAUGUGUAUUAGAGACACACAGGGGUGGUCGGGGGGCCUGCUCCAUGUUCGCCUUCUCAGCCUGGGCCCCGGUGAACGCAGACACUCCCACGACUGGUGGGAACAGGCCGCUGCUGGUGUGAGUCUUGGACCUCUGGCCACCCCGAGCUGCGACUGAAGGAUGCACCCCGGCUUAGCCCACUUCCAUGAUGGAUGCACAGGCCCCCAGGAAGUGUGGCCAGCAUAGGAAGAGCAGGAACUAGACCCAGGAGAAGGUUGGCAGGAAAUUUCCAUACAGGUUCUCCUGGCCAACGGAGACCAACAAGAGAGCCUGCAGCCCUGGAAGGUCACGAAGACAAACAGCUCGCUGCAGGAUCGGCUGCCCCUGCAGAAGACCCUGGUGCCAACAAGGUCCAUCCCAGUCAGAGGGUAAGUGGCAGGCAUCAUUGCUGGCGUCCCCACCCGAGAACCACACCACUUCCAGCGGAGGAAACUGAGGCCCGGGCAGCUCCAGGAGGGGGCUCAUCCACAGGUGGCAGGGCAGGGACGAGGGCCCGAGAGGAGGGAGAGGCAGCCGGGGUCUGGACUCCGUACAGCUGCUCUGAGGCUAGGGGUGCUGGCAGGGGACCCCGGCACUGGGAAGCCCUCAGCCAGCCACAUACCCACAAGCACACACACUCACGCAUGCCCCCCACCUGGGGGGACACACAGCGAAGCACCCAGAUACACUUGGAAAGACCCACACAGGAAAUAUAAAGACCCACAGACACACA